CAAUAGCGUAUAUUAAAGUUGUUGCAGUUAAAAAGCUCGUAGUUGGAUUUCUGGCAGGAGCGACCGGUCACACACUCUGUGUGUGAACUUGUGUUGUCUCUGGCCAUCCUUGGGGAGAUCCUGUUUGGCAUUAAGUUGUCGGGCAGGGGACAUCCAUCGUUUACUGUGAAAAAAUUAGAGUGUUUAAAGCAGGCUUAUGCCGUUGAAUAUAUUAGCAUGGAAUAAUAAGAUAGGACUUCGGAACUAUUUUGUUGGUUUGCGUUACGAAGUAAUGAUUAAUAGGGACAGUUGGGGGUAUUCGUAUUUCGUUGUCAGAGGUGAAAUUCUUGGAUUUCCGAAAGACGAACUACUGCGAAAGCAUUUGCCAAGGAUGUUUUCAUUAA
rnacentral:rRNA from 1 species